AAAAAGAUAAACUAUGGGUUUCCGUGUCCAACGUUUGAUUGUCCGUCUUAUAUGAAAUUUUUUUAUAAUUAGUAUUUUCAUUGUUGUUAGAUGAUAAAAUAUGAUUAAUACUUUAUGCGUGACUUGUCUUUUUAAAUUUUUUAUAAUUUUUCAAAUAAGACGGGCGGUCCAACGUUGGACACGAAAACCCAGGGUUUGUCUUUUU
rfam:Oryza rufipogon genomic scaffold, chr04